rnacentral:rRNA from 1 species
CAGCCGCCACGGUAAUACGGAGGGUGCAAGCGUUAAUCGGAAUUACUGGGCGUAAAGCGCGCGUAGGUGGUUUGUUAAGUUGGAUGUGAAAUCCCCGGGCUCAACCUGGGAACUGCAUCCCAAACUGGCAAGCUAGAGUAUGGUAGAGGGUGGUGGAAUUUCCUGUGUAGCGGUGAAAUGCGUAGAUAUAGGAAGGAACACCAGUGGCGAAGGCGACCACCUGGACUGAUACUGACACUGAGGUGCGAAAGCGUGGGGAGCAAACAGGAUUAGAUACCCGCGUAGUCCCUGUCUCUCAUAC